AGGAAUAUUGCGCAAUGGGGGCAACCCUGACGCAGCAACGCCGCGUGAGUGAGGAAGGUUUUCGGACCGUAAAGCUCUGUCGAGCGGGAAGAAAUGCAUGGUGGCUAAUAUCCAUCAUGCUUGACGGUACCGCUAAAGGAAGCACCGGCUAACUCCGUGCCAGCAGCCGCGGUAAUACGGGGGGUGCGAGCGUUGUUCGGAAUUAUUGGGCGUAAAGAGCGUGUAGGCGGCCGAAUAAGUCAGAUGUGAAAUCCCUGGGCUUAACCCAGGACGUGCAUUUGAAACUAUUCGGCUUGAGUAGGGGAGAGGAAAGUGGAAUUCCUGGUGUAGAGGUGAAAUUCGUAGAUAUCAGGAGGAACACCGGUGGCGAAGGCGACUUUCUGGCCCUAUACUGACGCUGAGACGCGAGAGCGUGGGUAGCAAACAG
rnacentral:rRNA from 1 species